rnacentral:misc_RNA from 1 species
GUGACUGUCACAUAAAAAUUAGGAAUCUCACUAAAACCUAGUUAAUUACAGUGUGAAUGCAUCAGUGUCUGGCUAUAAUAAAUCUUGGGCACAUGCAUGACAUGCUCUCCCAAUUCAACUGCUAUCCCUAUCUUCAGAUCUACGAUGUCACAGUCCAGUCCACUAAUUAAUCAGUUCUUGCAAUUUUCCAAUGAGAUUUUCUUUUGAAUUUG